CACCGCGGUUAUACGAGAGACCCUAGUUGAUAGAAAACGGCGUAAAGAGUGGUUAGAGAGAUAAUAAAUCAAAUAAAGUCAAACAUUAUCAUGGCCGUUAAAAGCACUCUGAAAAUAUGAAGCCCUACCACGAAAGUGACUUUAUUUUCCUCGAUCCCACGAAAGCUAAGAAA
rnacentral:rRNA from 1 species